rfam:Gossypium hirsutum cultivar TM-1 chromosome 12, whole genome shotgun sequence
UGUUAAAAUUUCAUUCAUUUUUAUCGUUAAAAGUUAACAUAGUUGACAGAAUAACCAAAUAAUUAUAUUUAUUGUGUCAUUUAUACAUCAUGUUAAUGUAUAAAGACUAGUUUUUAAAAGUAAAAUUGAAUGAAAUUUAUAAUC